rnacentral:piRNA from 1 species
UGGACUAUUUCCCUUAUCAUCUAUCCUCCC